CUACGGGAGGCAGCAGUGAGGAAUAUUGGACAAUGGGAGCAAUCCUGAUCCAGCAAUGCCGCGUGUGGGAUGACGGGGCUUUGCCUUGUAAACCACUGUCGGACGGGACGAGAAGAGGUAAGAACCUCUGGGACGGUACCGUCAAAGGAAGUAUCGGCUAACUACGUGCCAGCAGCCGCGGUAAUACGUAGGAUCCAAGCGUUGUCCGGAUUUACUGGGUAUAAAGGGUGCGUAGGCGGCUUUUUGCGUCAGAGGUGAAAUCCACGGGCUUAACCCGUGGGGUGCCUUUGAAACGGGAAGGCUUGAGUAUGACAGAGGCGGAUGGAAUUCCUGGUGUAGCAGUGAAAUGCGUAGAUAUCAGGAGGAACACCGGUGGCGAAGGCGGUCCGCUGGGUCAUAACUGACGCUGAGGCACGAAAGCGUGGGGAUCAAACAGGAUUAGAAACCCGGGUAGUCC
rnacentral:rRNA from 1 species